CACUAAGAAGCUUAACACAGCAUUAGCCUUUUAAGCUAAGGAGGGAAGAAGCUUCUUCCCUUAGUGAA
rnacentral:tRNA from 1 species